CCGGCCCCGCCCCGCGGCUCCCGGCCGGCUUGGAGACGACCAGGCUCCUUCUACCUUGGUGAGAGGAAGCAGAGACUAAGCGCAGCAACUUUAAAGGUCCCGAAGGCUUAAUAAGAAGGGAGUUUAUAAUAACAAGCAAAACGUCGGCGUCCCUGACCGUCAGGUUUCUCAGGAGAAGGACUCUGUAGCGAUGCGCGGGCAGCCGGGGCCCGGCGUCCCUUCAGCUCCCGGACGAGGAAAGCACAGAAACGACUCGGGUCUGCUUUCGUCGCCUUCCCAGCGGAGGGGCCUUCAGCACCCUCUCCCCGAGCUGCCUCCCAGGCCGUCUGCAGGCGUUCUCCUUUGGGCUCUGACGUGACGAAAGCCGGCUGUAGUCUCUCUGAGGGAAAUCAAUUUUUCGUUUAGGACUGACGCUUAAGUAAUGCUCCGGGCUGUUCAUCUUUCCCACUGUGGCGGAUGCUCACCUUGGUCGGAGCUCCUCGGGUGCAGUCGACGAUUUCCUACACGAGGUGGAGCUGAAGAGCACAGUGCUCUAUGACUAUUACGAGGGGACGAAAAGACAACAGGAGCUGGGGCAAAAGGUGCGAUUUUAGAGAAAAGAAAUGGAGCACUGCCUCUGUUUUGUUAGAAAAUAAAAAAAUUAUGAACGAAGAAA